CGACCUUUCCCCUCUCUGCCGACGCGAACCUCCCUUCCUUCUCGGUUCUCUCUCGCGGACAAGCGACGGCGACGGGAGCAAGGGUCCAGCUCCGGCGAUCGUCGAUCUCGACCCAGGGGAGCAGUCGCUAGCGCAGAUCCGGACGUGGGUGAUUUUCUCCAGCCCUAGCCGAGUCUGCCGAUCCUUUUCUUCCCCGAUCGACAUCACUGGAUUGAGUCGUGCCGCCCGAUCGCCGGCGUGGAAGAGCAAUUAGGGCUUCAAAGGAGGCGAGGUCCUGUUCUGUGAAGGCGAUCUUGGAUUCCCUCUGUGUCGCUGCUGAUUGAGGUCUCGGGUGAAUUGGGAAAGAACUCCAGCAGAGGUUGCUGUGAGUUUUCUGAUCCAGCAAGGUGAAGAUCUGUUUU